rnacentral:tRNA from 4 species
UGGGGCGUAGCCAAGUGGUAAGGCAGCGGGUUUUGAUCCCGUCAUUCAGAGGUUCGAAUCCUUUCGUCCCAG